rnacentral:rRNA from 1 species
GACGAACGCUGGCGGCGUGCUUAACACAUGCAAGUCGAACGGAAAGGCCCUGCUUUUGUGGGGUGCUCGAGUGGCGAACGGGUGAGUAACACGUGAGUAACCUGCCCUUGACUUUGGGAUAACUUCAGGAAACUGGGGCUAAUACCGGAUAGGAGCUCCUGCUGCAUGGUGGGGGUUGGAAAGUUUCGGCGGUUGGGGAUGGACUCGCGGCUUAUCAGCUUGUUGGUGGGGUAGUGGCUUACCAAGGCUUUGACGGGUAGCCGGCCUGAGAGGGUGACCGGCACCAGUGGGCUUGGAUAGCGGCCCGGCUCCCAAGGGGGGGCAGCGGGGGUAAAUAUAGCACAAGGGGCGGAACCUGGAUCAAGCACCCCGGCGGGGGGGGGGCCGGCUUUCGGUUUGAAACCCGCUUUCGCCGGGGAAGAAGGGGGGGGGAGGUUAAUGGGAAAAAAAGCACCGGCUACCUGCGUC